rnacentral:rRNA from 1 species
UACGUAGGUGGCAAGCGUUGUUCGGAAUUAUUGGGCGUAAAGGGCGCGUAGGCGGCUUGUUAAGUCGGCUGUGAAAAGCCCGGGGCUCAACCCCGGAGGGUCAGCCGAUACUGGCAGGCUAGAGUACGGAAGAGGUAGCUGGAAUUCCCGGUGUAGCGGUGAAAUGCGUAGAUAUCGUAAGGAAGACCAGUGGCGAAGGGCGG